rnacentral:lncRNA from 1 species
CAGUCUCGCCCCCGCGCAGGCGUCUUUCUGGCCAGUCGCGCGUGGGCUGAGGCCCUGGGCGGGCGUUGCGAAGACUUGUUUGCUUGAGUUUGGACCCUGCGACAGUUCUCAUUUCCCUCCCGGUGGGGCUGGCGUACACCCGGAGCUGGAGAAUGGGCAGCUAGACGCAGGCUAGGGAGCCUGUGGCUGCGGACAUGAACUCGCCCGUGGACCCCGGCGCUCGGCAGGCACUGAGGAAGAAGCCGCCCGAGCGGACUCCUGAGGUAAGGCCGGGCACUGGCGAGCACUGCUCGGCCCCGACCUGGCCGUAGCCGCGCAGGGUGAUGAGCACCUUUCCUGCCGCUUCCUGCCGGGGACUUCCUUGUACUUGUGAUAAGAAAGCACCGUUACUGUUGACUGGCUUCUGAGUUUGUGUGUGCUCAGGUGGGCUGAAAAACAAGCUGGGAAUAAUGAUGUGUAAGAGACAGUUCAUACCAUAGCCAGUGUGUGCUGUGCGUUCAUCUCAGAUACUGCACAAUUGCCCCCAGAAGACAGGUUUCCAAUGUCCGUAUCAGACUCUGCGUCAGCCAGAUAGUAGUAAGUCCCGUGGCGGGUGAUGCGUGUCGAGUGGUUCCCUGGUGCUUUUUCAAACUUUCCGUGGGAAGUUUAAGAUUAUUUGUUAAGUUUUCUUGGUUUGAAGACGUUUCUAUAAUCUUAGUGGCUAUGUGUAUUAUACCAAAAUUAAAAAAAAAAAAAAGGAAAACCCAACAGCAAUGUAAAUGCAAUGAGUCGUCUUGUUUGAAGUUGCAGUAACUGAAAUGAAAUGUUUUAAUUUUUAGUCACGGGAGUUUCAUACUUAGAGUUCUUUGCAUAGAAAGUCUCAAACUUUGGGUAACACUCUGGGACAUGACUUUGUUACAGCCAUUAUUGAAGUUGUGAUGUGUCCAGCUUGCUUCCUGAAACCUUGAUCUUUGCAUAGUAACAAGGCACCUGCCCACCCCUUUCCAGGGGCUACUUUUUCCUACUUAUAAUUUAUGAAUCAGCUUUUCUGUGGUGAUUACCAUUGUAAUGUGCAUUUUAAGUUUUAUUUACGAACAUUAUUUAGGUAAUGAAGGAAAACCUUGUUUCUCUUCAGGUACCGAAUUACUUAGUUUGAAAUUGAGUCUUUUUAAGUAGAGGACGUUUUCUCAACUGUUGGGGAACUUAUGCUUGGUCAUGUGUGCUGUGUUGAGGACUUUUAUCUUGUGUUACUGGAAUAGCAACAUUGUUGAAGGGAAUAUUAACUGCUUGGAUUCAUUGGCUGUAUUUUUGAAUGAGUGUAGAAUUUAGGUUACUAAUAAAUCAUUAUCCAGAGUGCUAGUGAUGCUUUAUUUUGACAAAGAGUUCUAUGAAAUUCUCACAAGUUCGUUUCUGCUGUCAAAAGAUUCUCGUAGUGGACUCCUAAGAGUCUGUUAUAAAUAUAUUAAUUUGGUAAUUAUUCAUUGCCAACCUGUUCAAGGCUCUAUUUUGUACAUUAGAAAAUUUUAGUGGGCACAAUAGACAGGUCCCUAUAGUUCUUACAUCCUGAUGGAUUAAGGAAUUGAGAAGGUAGGUGAUAAAUAUGCAACAUGCUAGCUAAUAAUGGCUAUUUCCAAUAAUAGGAUAAGGAGAAUUGGGGAAAGGGAAAAUAAGCUAUUUCCUAGGUAACUUGACUUGCUUGUUGAACGAAACUGGGUAUCCCUGUGUAGCUCACAGCAACCUGGAACCAUAACUUGUCGGCACUUUGCUUGUAUGAAGAUGGUAGUGACCCUCAAGGAUCUGACUUGAUGAACAUUCUAUUGAUGCAUACGAAUGGGAUUAUGUGCAGAGUUUUAUGAGGAAGAAAGCUUAUGCAAAUGGAGGAAAUGGUCAUUGCAAAGACCCUGUGAUUAGAGUGUUCUGUUCAUACAUUCCAGGAUUAACAGGGAACUCUUGAAUAGUGGGCAAUGAGCCAGAGUGGGUAGGAAGUCCUAGAUAGUGCUGUAGGAUAGGACACAGCAUAUAGGACUUUGUAAAAUGUGAGGGUUGUUAUUACUACUACUGCUACCACCACCACCACCACCACCACCACCACCACCACCACCACUACAACUACUUUUAUCUGCAGUGAAAUGGGUGAGCUACCAUCUGAAGGUUUUGAAGCAGUGGAAUGAAACUGUCUUGAUAGAUUUUCAAAAAGACUGGCUGUUAUGUAGAGUGUAGACCAGGUGGAAACAAGGGUAGGAGCAGGAAGUUAGAAGCUAUUGCAUAAAUGGGGUAAGAGAUGAUGAUAGUUCAGACUAAAAUGACAGCCAUGGGGAUUCUGAAUAGCCAUCAACUUCUGAAAAUAUUUUUAACCUUUAGCCAGGAGCCUUUGUUAAUAACAUAGACUAGGUAUAGACUGAAGGAUAAAGAAGAAUUGAACAUGGUUUCAGAGUUUGGGGUCUAAAUUAUGGAGUGUUGAAGUUGUUACCAAAGACAAGUUGAAGAGUUAUCAAAGAAAUGGCCUUGGAUGUCACGAAGUGAUACAAUGCACACCUAGUGUCAUGAGAUCCUGGACUUCAUCCUCAGCACCACAAAACAGAAAUACAAGAGAUUUACCAGAGCUGAUUUUUGUGAGGGGGUAAUAUCACAAAUUAUGUUUUCAAUAUGUCUAAUUUAAAAUAUCUGUUAGAAAUGUUGGAGUAAACAUUUAGCACAUAAAAGCUAUGUUUCUAAGAGAAGGCUGGACUAGAGAGUUAAAAUUUAUAGUCAUCGGGUUGUAGAUUGUUUUCAGUUGGGAGAAUUAUGAAAUUAUCAAUAUAGAGUGUAUAGAGAAUAGAAGAGGUAAAAUUUACAGUCAUUGGAAUGUAGACAUUUUCAGUUAUAAGAAUAUAUGAAAUUAGGAAUAUAAAGAAUAUACAUAGAAAAUAGGGGUCACACAUUAUGAUCCCAGCACCUGGGACUCUGAGGAGGAAAAUUGCCAUUGAUUCCAGGCCUGCCUGGUAUGAAUGAGGAUGGAUGUGUUUGGGUAUGACAUGUCUUAGAAAAAAAAUGUUAGAAUAAAUAGGUAGAUUAAGAGACAGAGGGGUUGGAGAGAGAGCUCAGUGACUAAAAGCAUUCACUGCUCUUCAGAGGUCCUGAGCUCAAUUCUCACCAACCACAUGGUGGCUCACAACCAUCUAUAUUGAGAUCUGAUGCCUUCUUGUGGCAUGCAGGCAUAUAUGCAUAUAGAGCACUCAUAUACAUAAAAUACAUAAAUAAAUCUUCAAAAAGCGAGACAGAAACAGACACAUACACCCAGUGUAUAGUGAUAUCAUGGAAGCCAAGUUAAUAAAAGUGCAUGUUCUAGGAGUGUAGUUAGUUGUAGAGCAUUUGUCUGUCACAUAUGAAGCCUUGGGCUCAAUUCUCAGGGUAGGAUUGGGGGAUUCUAUUUUUAAAAGCUAGGCAUGAUAACACAUGUCUGGAAUACCAGCAUUUAGGAAGUGGAGGCUACAGCAUUAAGAGUACCAGUCCAGUCUGGGCUACAUAAGACCAUGUUUCAAACAAACAAAAACCAAAGUUACAAUGGAAGGGGAUAAUAUUCCUGUGUUAAGCUUAAUUUAGUUCCUUUUCCUUGAAUAUGUACUGAGUGCAAAGCAUGUGAAAAUAUACAAAUAGGCAACAUUAUGGUUUGAAUUUCAAAUCAUCUCCCCCUAUCCAUACACACAUAUAGGCUUCUGUGUUUCAAUACCUUGUCCCCAGCUGGUGGCAAUGUUGUUGGGAGGUUGUGGAACCUUUGGAGCAGAUGUGGGUCACUGGGGCCAAACAUCUGAGGAGCUUUUGCCUCACUCUCUACCCUUCUUUACUCACAGCAUAGAUCCACCCACUUUAGCCAUCCUGCAUUCCCUGUGGUGGUGGACUGAUAGCCCCUGAAAGUAGAAACCAGAAUAAGUCUUUACUCCUUUUAAGAUGCUUCUGUCAGGAAGCAAGUCAGAAUGUAAAUUGCUAAUACAGCAGUGUGUUUGUUUUUGAGACAGGGUCUCACUGUGUAGCGUAGACUGUUCUCUAAAUCAUUAUUAUCUUUUUGUCUCAGCUUCUGAAGUUCUUGGAUUAUAAGUGUGUGCCACCAGGCCAAGUUUAGAAUCAGUGUUUUUAUAACUUUGUAAUAAAUCUUUGUGUACUAGACUCUGAAGUAUGACAUUUAGAUAACUUUCUAAAAGUUUUUACUUCUCUAGCUCUUUGUCCUACUUUUGGGAUCCAAGUUUCACAACAAAUUGUCUUUCCUGAGCUCUCUGAUUUCCUUUCCCAUUUUUAAAAAGGAUUUCUUAUGGGAAAAUGUGGGCUUAAGUACUGGUCUUGUAAUUAAAAGUGUUCUAAAACCACAAAAGCUAUUAAAGAGAUAUGGAUUCAAGUAGAACACCUAACUAGCAUGUGUGGGACCUGGACUUUAGCCCAGCCAAAAACAGGUACACAAGUCUAUAGCACUAAUAUUCAGUCAACCUGAAAAUAGUGGGUUAUUUGAGCACACAAGUUUAAGUCUAACCCAGACAAAGUAGUUGAGACCAUGACUC